GGAGUUUAGCUCAUUGGGUUAGAGCGCCUGCUUUGCAUGCAGGUUGCAUCGGUUCGAAUCCGAUAUGCUCCA
rnacentral:tRNA from 1 species